rnacentral:lncRNA from 1 species
CCUACUUCUUCUAACUUUACUAAUUGGGACAAGCAUAUUUUCCCAACAAGUUGUAAAGAUCUAUAUUAUAUUUUAGGAGGAGGACUCACUUAAGAAUCAAAUUUCAACUCUGAAUGUAAUGCUGCAUGCAGAUUUUUUAAAAGUAUUUUCAUUGUAUUUCCAUUUAUUAGGUCAUUGUAACCUCACUGCACAGACACUUCACUACAAAGUGGGCACUGGCAUGAUCUUAUCUGCUACAAUUCCUCUUAGAAAUGGUUUACACAAACAGACAAAUCGACUCCAUCCAGAAACUGUACAGACUUUAAAAAUAUUCACUUUGAGAAGACGAGAAUAUCCAAUGAGGAAAAGACAGUCUCUUCAACAAAUGGCUGAGAAAACUGAACUGUUACAUGCAAAAGAAUGAAAUUGGACCACUUUCUUACACCAUAUGUGAAAAUAAACUCAAAAUGGAUUAAAGACCUAAACA